UCCUUGUUAGUAUAGUGGUAAGUGUCGCCGCCUAUAACGCGGGAGACUGUGGUUCGAUUCCCCGACGGGGAG
rfam:Ciona savignyi cont_1728, whole genome shotgun sequence.